UCCUUUCUACCUCUAAAAUCCCCCUUUAGUCAUCAUUUAAAUUGAGGAAUAGCUGCAUGAAUCAUCACAAGCUCAUUAAAGAUUUCAAUAGAACAUGCAUAAUCAUUAUCCCCAAAUGUUCACAUACAGAGAGGGGAAAAACAAGAAAACACUUUAACUUAGUUUUAGUUAGAUUUGAAAUUCUAAGAACAUCAUAUAGAGAUUUUUAGUUGGAUAUUAUAUCUUACUCUUGAAAUCCUCUAUAGGAGGUUGUGAACCCUAACUUUUUUCUUUAACAAAAUAUCUUCUUUCUGUCUCUCUCACGUUCCUCAAUUUCUUAUUUCAUGGAAGCUAAAGACCUUGAUGCAAGAAACACAUCACUUUAUCUUCAUGCCCUUAGCUCCCUUUUCUUUCCUUUCCAUUUCUGAUUUUGUUUGGAAAGAAAAGUGAGGCAAGAAAGAAGGAGAAUGCGUGUGAGUUUAUUGGGUAUGAAUUUUUUAGUGAGAUACAUGUUGUAUUUUUGUGGAAAUGAAUAAGAAGGUGAGAAUUGAAAAACUAAGUGUGAUGAGUGUCUGUGAUGAGUCAUCAUCGAUUCUUGUUUUUAACCAUUUUAUUACUAGUUUUAUUUAUUUUCUUUUGGAUUUAUAGUUAUUUUAAUAAAUAAAAGGAAUUUUAAUCUUUUUUGAAUGAAUUUGGAUGUUUUACUACUACUUUUUUGUAACCAGACAAACUCUUGGAAUUUUUUUUUUUUUUUUGUGAUGUUACAGAUCAGUUACAUUGCAAAAUGGACACUCGAGAAGUUAUAAAGUGUUACUGCACACACAAGAUGGUUCCUAGAGUUCUAAAUUGUCUUUCAUUGAAGUAUGGAGUGCAAUAGGAAAGAAUAAGGGUGCAAUGCAUCAAUUCUUCCACAUAAGUUCAUUUGUUCGCACAACUCUCUGCCUCUGAGCGUAGAAGAGCUAUCUCAUAGUGCAUUGUGUAGGAUUCUUGCAAAAUCAUUUUUAAAAGUAGCAACACAUUGCAAUAUUAUCUGGAACAAUGCAAAAGCACACAUUUCCAUAUUCUAUUUAACUCAAAAAUCAUUAUUUGGAUGCAAAAGGAAGAGACAACUACACCUUAAUGAAGUGGUUGUGAAACCUCUUUGUGUAAUAAUCUUCUUUCUCUUUAUAAAUUACCAACCAUUAUGAGUAGCUAAUUUACUCAUUGAUUAGGGAUUAGAUGAACCUUCUUGAAUAUAGAUGAUUUUUGUUAGUAAUGCUUAUUGUUAAUGGAAUAUAAAGUAUUAACAUGUUUUUAAGAAAUUAACAUUUGCACAUGCUUGAGUAACAAGCCUGAUCAUCUAAGAAAUUAAAGUUUGUUGUUAUAAAAAAAGGAUUUUGAGCCAAGGAAUCAGUCU
rnacentral:lncRNA from 1 species